rnacentral:rRNA from 1 species
CAGUCGCCGCGGGAAUACAGAGGGUGCGAGCGUUAAUUGGAUUUACUGGGCGUAAAGCGUGCGUAGGCGGCUUCUUAAGUCGGAUGUGAAAUCCCUGAGCUUAACUUAGGAAUUGCAUUCGAUACUGGGAAGCUAGAGUAUGGGAGAGGAUGGUAGAAUUCCAGGUGUAGCGGUGAAAUGCGUAGAGAUCUGGAGGAAUACCGAUGGCGAAGGCAGCCAUCUGGCCUAAUACUGACGCUGAGGUACGAAAGCAUGGGGAGCAAACAGGAUUAGAUACCCCGGUAGUCCCUGUCUCUUAUAC